AUGCAGUGUAAACACACAAAGGGUGCUGGCUACAACCAGAUGUACUGGUAUAGACAGAAACCAGGAGAAACUAUGGAACUGAUUGUGUUCACAGUAAUGGGCAAAAAGGAUGAUGAGCAUGACUUCGGAGAUUUCAAGACGGGGAAAUUUUCAGCCAGCAGACCUGAUGGUGACAGUGGGACAUUCACAGUGAAUAACCUGGAGCCAGAAGACAAAGGCUUGUAUUUUUGUGCAGUGAGCCAACACAGUGACUAUGAACCUGCUUACUUUGGCAGUGGCACCAAACUCACAGUACUGGAGACAGGCAGGGAGAUCACUGAACCAGAGGUAGAAAUACUGGAACCUUCGAAACACGAGUGCAGAAACAACAAAGACAAAAAAAGGAAGAAGACACUCGUUUGUGUGGCCUCCGGUUUCUACCCCGAUCAUGUCAGUGUGUCAUGGACUAUCAGUGGGAUUAAUGUCACUGAUAAUGUGGCAACAGAUGAUGCUGCCCAUAAGAAUGGCAGUACCUACAGAAUCACCAGCAGGCUGAGGGUCUAUGCCCCAGAAUGGGAAAAUCCUGGAAAUACAUUUAAAUGCACAGUCACCUUCUUCAAUGGCACAGGAUAUACAUAUCAUUCCAAUGAAAUCAGUGGAGUUGAAGCUCAAGGAAAGGGCAUGACAAGAGACACAUUUAUGACAACAACACAAAAUUUCAAGCUCACCUACGCUGUGUUUAUUGCCAAGAGCUGCGUCUAUGGAGUCUUUGUUGGAUUUUUGGUGUGGAAGCUUCAGAGGUCUGGUGGAAAGCAGAGGUACUGAGACCUGAGAUGAAGCCUCAACAAAUGAGCUCAGAUGCAAGUUACCUUGCUCUCUGUAAAUAUUAUUCACAAGCAUAGUUUUUCUGUUGCUACAAAACUCUGUGUUAAAGUGCACACUUAUGUUAACUGGCCAUUCAAAUUCUGCACCAAGGGGAUUUUUAUUUGCUUAUUUUUCUUUACAUAAUAACUGCCUUUCAAAUAAACUGAUGUUCAUUUUUAUGGCUACAAAGUAAUUUCUGUUUGUGAAAUGCUUGUUUGUUUAAUUUUCUUCUCAAUAAAAAUAUGUUGGAGUAUUUUAAA